CCAGAAUCAUCAUGACUUUCAGUCUUUGAUAUGUGACUUGUUCUUUCUAGAACCUUAUGAAAAAUAUCCAACCCGAGCAGGAUAAAACUGAUCAUCCUGAGGAUAUUGCCCUUGGAGUUAAUUUUUUGAGAGAAAUAAAACAAUAAACAUCAUAAGACACAAACCCCAAGCAACUGAUCUCACUGUUAAAAUCCAACCUGAGAACAAUGGAAUGGACCAUACUGUCUUUGUCACAACUCUGCCAUUGCAGCGUGAAAGCAUCCAUAGACGGUACACAAAUGCAUGGAUGUAGUUGUACUCCAGUACAACUGCAAAAAGCAGACAGCUGGCUGGGUUUAGCCUACGGGCCAUAGUUUACACAACUCAAUCUAGGUGAUUGCCUGGUAACUUUGUGAUUGUAAACAGGAAAGAAAACCCAUGCACUGAAAUCUUAUGGCUAUAUUUGGUUGUAAGUUGGCCAUCCGGAUUCAA
rnacentral:lncRNA from 1 species